UACGGGGGGGGCAAGCGUUGUUCGGAAUUACUGGGCGUAAAGGGCUCGUAGGUGGCCAACUAAGUCAGACGUGAAAUCCCUCGGCUUAACCGGGGAACUGCGUCUGAUACUGGAUGGCUUGAGUGUGGGAGAGGGAUGCGGAAUUCCAGGUGUAGCGGUGAAAUGCGUAGAUAUCUGGAGGGACACCGGUGGCGAAGGCGGCAUCCUGGACCAUUACUGACACUGAAAAGCGAAAGCCAGGGGAGCAAACGGG
rnacentral:rRNA from 1 species